rnacentral:lncRNA from 1 species
CGCCCGCGCCGACCCCGGCGCAGCGCUAGGACAGCGCCCCUGCGCGGCCGCCAGCUCCGGCGCAGCGCCUCCCUACACGCGCGCCAACCGGGGCGCCCCCGGCCCGCAGGAAUCCCCGCGGCGGGCGCAGGCGGGGGUGUUUGGGUGGCUACCCGAAAGCACGAGGGGAGUCUGGGAAAACGGGAGGGGGCGAGCUCGGGAAGACGCAGGAGUGAGGGUGGGGGGCCACGGGGGGGCACUGCGGCUACAGAGCCCCGAGUGGGAGGCCGGGGGGAGGCGGGGGCGCCGGAGCUGGGCUGCCUCUUACCUAUCAGGUAAGACUGACCCACGGGAGGGAGGUUUCUAGUCAAGGCUGUUUCCCCCAGGAAAUUUAAAAGCUAGAUUUCGGCUUCAGGGCGAUAGGCCAUGGUGAGGGGAUCUGUAUUUUUUAAGGUUUUUCUAAAGGACUUCUGGGCCAGCCUUCCACCUUGGGAUCCCCAGAUUUGCUGCCGUGAGGUACCUGGAAGGAACAGAGGGACGCCCAAGGGCAGUGACUGGGGGCAGUUAUGGUCACUACAAAAGGAGAACAGGGAUCCCCAGGAAGUGUCUCACGUCCGGCGCUGUGGAAUUAGUUGCUGAUCAAGUAGGGAGAAAAUGAAAUUAAAAUUUUAAGGGCUAAUUCCCCUUCAUUCAAGAAAUAUUUACUGUGAUGAAGACAUGUUCCAUGCAGAGGAAAUGGCCAAUGCAAAGAGCCCCUGACUGGAGGGCAUUUGGCACAUUCUAGGAGAGUGAGGAGGAUUCUAUGGGCCAGGAAUUCAGACAGGGCACAGUGUUGAUGGCUUGUCUGUGUCCUGGCUGGGAUGGCUCAAAUGGUUGUGGGACUAUUUGACUUGAAAGGCUGGAGCCUGGAAUCAUUUGAAACAUUGUUCACUCAUGUGUCUGGCACCUGCGUUAGAAUGACUGAAGGCUACAUCAACUAGAGUACUUACAUCCGGUCUCUCCAUGUGACUUGGACUUUUCACAGCGUGGAGGCUGGAUUUCAAAGGUCAACUGAGAAUGGCAGAGGACUCAUCCCACCUUUGCCACAUGGUGACUUGCCCCACUCCCCCAGGUGACCUUGCUCGUGCAUGUGGAUAUUUGCUCAGAUUAAGAAUGUUUCCCACAAAAUUGCUUACUCUCUUUCAUUCUGUCCGUGGUUGCUUGUGGUUUAUUUGUUGAUAACUGAGACUAUUUAAAGAUUGCCAAAACAAAAGCCAUUUCUUUUCUCCCCGAAUAGCCUCAUUUUUUCUAUUCCCUUUUUCCCCUCCUAUUAACAUUUCUGGGGACUCUAAAGCAGAGCUCAAGAUGGUUCAGGACCACGGAGAGCGCAAGGAAGGGGAACUACCAAAGCACUUUAGUCAUGCAGGUGGGGAAAGAGAUGAUCCUAAAAUUGUUUUUAUUUUUCUGUUUUUUUGAGAGGGAGUCUCGCUCUGUCACCCAGGCUGGAGUGCAGUAGCACGA